rnacentral:lncRNA from 1 species
UGAGAAAGACCACAUGUAGCAACCACAAAGACAUGUGUGAAAGGAAGUGAGUGUGUGUUAUCAAGAAAAAAAAUGUAGACAAUAUAGACAAAUUACCUUUCAAAUGUAAUUUUAUCCAAGUACAUAAAAGAAAUUUUUUACCCUGUUAUGAAUUUGAAAAAUAGAUUUAAACUUGGUUUCAAUUAGUACUGAUUCUUGGGGGGUGGGAUAGUAAGUUCAAGAUUUCUAAUAAUCUCUCAUUCUGAGGAUCAAGAAUUUUAUCAUAAGAAAUCAGAGCCAAGUUAUAAUCUAUAAAGAAAAUAGUCUUAUUUAGUUUUGGCUCCAGGUUUUCUUCACUAAAGAGAGCCAACAUUUCCUUCCAAGGGACUUCUAGGAUACAACAGGCCUAAUGUUUUAUAACGUGGCUACAUGUCUAUAUGUACAGUUUAAAAUCCAUGAAAAUGUUGCUUUUAAGUCAGGGUCCCUGAAAUGGACUUAAGGAAAAGAAUGUGAUUACAGAUGUUUGGCUGGCUGCUUAGUCGGGGUCUUCUAGGGGUAAUACUUUAAUUGAAUAACACCAACUAAGGUCUAGUCUUCCACUUAAGACAUUUAGAAACUCAAUUUGGUAAGUACAUUCUGAGAUAAUCAGUCUCUCUUGGACUGGUUCAUGUGAAUCCAAUUCAUAAGAGACUUAGGAGUUAUAUUUAGUCUCCUUCUCUGUGCUCUAGGCACUCUGGACUUUGUCCUGCCAAAUAUAAUCCCACCUCACAGCUUUUUAACUAUAUCUUCCCUAUGUCUGAAAUUCUCAAUCUUCAUAUCUCUGUUUCCAACUUGGUAAAAAUGUUGGAAGUUUUUUUUUCACAAAGCGUCACACAUGGAUAAAGUUGAGUAGAGGUAAAAGUAAUUUUCUAAAUAAGGAUAUGAUCCAGGUGCCCACAUUAGAAACUUCAGGACUGACUAAGGACUAGUCAAUCUUGGCAAAAUUUUGCAAGUGACUCAGAUGCACUGCCAUGAUUGAGGACUACUCUGGGAUGAAGUCUGUUCAAGAUUAAAGUGGAAAGGAACA